rnacentral:rRNA from 1 species
UACGUAGGGUGCAAGCGUUAAUCGGAAUUACUGGGCGUAAAGCGUGCGCAGGCGGUUCGUUGUGUCGGUGGUGAAAGCCCCGGGCUUAACCUGGGAAUGGCCAUGGAAACUGGCGAACUGGAGUGUGGCAGAGGGGGGUGGGAAUUCCGCGUGUAGCAGUGAAAUGCGUAGAGAUGCGGAGGAACACCGAUGGCGAAGGCAGCCCCCUGGGCUAGCACUGACGCUCAGGCACGAAAGCGUGGGGGAGCAAACAGG